ACAUGGCUGGGCCCCUGGCACCACAGGAGAGAGCCACUAAGAACAAGAGGAACUUCAUAGGAGCAUGGGGGCAAGAAGAAGUGAAACUCCCUAACUAGAGGACCAGACUUGGCGAUAGGCCAGAUAUCAAGGUGUCAAGACCAGGUUCAGGAAACAGCACAGGACAAAGGGCCUGAAGGAAUUUCUGGAAGGAGUGAAGAAAUCAGAAGUCCUUUACUGUCAUUCUAGGUUGUUGCAUUUUGGGAGACUCUGGCUUCUCUUCCAGUAUAUUGACACUACAUACGUGUUGGCAUUCCAGCUCCACCAAGGAGCAAUUGAAAUACAGUGGUGGCUGAUACCAAAAGAUUUAGAGGAAAGCCCUGAGCAGCAUGAAAAGAAAAAAAAAAAAAACCUUUGAAAAUUUUCUAGAUUGACAAAAUCAGGUCAUUUGGGAAACUACAGCUGGUUUUCAUUGGCAGUGAAUUGUAUUUUGACCAAUGACUGAUAAGGAACCAAGAAAGGGACAAUCAUAAUGACAACAAAAAUACUUCACAAAAAAAAAAAUACACACACACACACACACACACACACACACACCUGGGAAAGAAAUAGACAACCAACCUGUAAGGAGGAAAGAAUACAAAAUGUGUCUGUGAAACUAGACUGGAAAUAAAAUCUUAAAAAUACCCAGACAAAUCUUAUACCUUUCUCCAUCUGAGAGCAGUCUUACUUCUGGACAUUUCUCUACUUCUGCUUCUCUUUCAUAAAGUGAAAAAAAUAGAUAUCUCUCAUUUUACAGAAUAUGUAUUAAGACA